GCAACCGGUCAAAACUCGCCCAAUGAGAUUCGUAAUCAGCAGGUCGCCGGUUCGAUCCCGGCGGGUGGCUCCA
rnacentral:tRNA from 1 species